UACGGGGGGGCAAGCGUUGUUCGGAAUUACUGGGCGUAAAGGGCUCGUAGGCGGCCAACUAAGUCACACGUGAAAUCCCUCGGCUCAACCGGGGAACUGCGUGUGAGACUGGAUGGCUUGAGUUUGGGAGAGGAAUGCGGAAUUCCAGGUGUAGCGGUGAAAUGCGUAGAUAUCUGGAGGAACACCGGUGGCGAAGGCGGCGUUCUGGACUGCAACUGACACUGAGGAACGAAAGCCAGGGAGCAAACGGG
rnacentral:rRNA from 1 species